rnacentral:rRNA from 1 species
CACAAGCAGCGGAGCGUGUGGUUUAAUUCGAUGCUACACGAAGACCUUACCAGGGUUUGACAUGCAAGUGGUAGGAACCGAAAGGCGACCGACCUUCGGGAGCUUGCACAGGUGCUGCAUGGCUGUCGUCAGCUCGUGUCGUGAGAUGUUCGGUUAAGUCCGCUAACGAGCGCAACCCUCGCUGUGUGUUACAAGUGUCACACGGUACUGCCGGUCUUAAGCCGGAGGAAGGUGGGGAUGACGUCAAGUCAGCAUGACCUUUAUAUCCAGGGCUACACACACGCUACAAUGGCCAGUACAAUGGGUUGCCAAGCCGCGAGGCGGAGCCAAUCCUAAAAAGCUGGCCUCAGUUCAGAUUGCAGUCUGCAACUCGACUGCAUGAAGUUGGAGUUGCUAGUAACCGCAGGUCAGCAAUACUGCGGUGAAUACGUUCCCGGGGAUU